rnacentral:lncRNA from 1 species
GCUACUCGCUCGAACCCGCCGGGCGAAGGAAGCACUUCCCAUGCUCUCCCUGUCGCCGUGUCCGGGCGCGAGUCAUUUCCGUCCCGGGCGCCUGUUUCUUUAGCUGCCAAGUGGAGCUACGCUGAGCUCUCUCCCCCCGGGCCUCGCCCCUUUCCCGGGCAUGAGCUCUGGUGAUGCGCCCGGGUGCCCCGCUCUCUCCAUUGUCCAGGGGCCGGGCCGCAGCACCCUCCUUGUCCGAAAGCGCGUGGUGCGGCUCCCGUCUCAGUCUCGAGUCGGGCUAGGCAACCGCGUGACUCAGUUCCCGCCACGCUGGAGCCCCCUCCUUCCUGCUGGAUUAUUCAGUUUCUCAGUCACUUAUUCAGUUUCUCAGUCACCUCCCUGGGAGAGUUUGGGAAACCUCGUCUAGGGUGCAGC